GACGAACCGUGCGAACGUUGUUCGGAAUCACUGGGCUUAAAGGGCGCGUAGGCGGGCUGCCGCGUCCGGGGUGAAAUCCACGGCUCAACCGGUGAACGGCCUCGGAUACGGGCGGCCUGGAGGCGGGUAGGGGCGGGCGGAACUCUGGGUGGAGCGGUGAAAUGCGUUGAGAUCCAGAGGAACGUCCGGUGGCGAAGGGCG
rnacentral:rRNA from 1 species